rnacentral:lncRNA from 1 species
CUAAUCUCUCACAUGGUAUUCAUCCUAACUACUUCCAAGCAACCUCCUCAAUCUCUUUAGGCAGAAUUUUAGGCUGAUGUAAAUUUCAACGUCACGGAGAUUAAAGGCAUAUUUAAUUUCUGUUCAAAGUGAACUUCCAAAUUCCAGUGGCACAAUUCACAUUUUCUGCCAAAGCUUCAAAAAUAAAUAAGAUUUAAUGUCUCUUUCAGAUCCGUGGAAGAAUAAACAUCAUAAUUAAGAGUUUUUUUCUGAGGUCAACUACUAAUCAAGGCAAGCUGAAACACAAGAUCAGUAGACAUAGACCUGUACCCUCUGAAAGUUAAACAAGAAUCUCCUCAGGAAACAAUGGGAUUUUUUUUUUAUCCUAGAAAGUCACCAGCAGGUCAGCUGUUUCAAUGCUGACAUAGACAAGAAAAAGGCUUUUUUUAUUAAUGUUUGAAUUCUAUUUGACCAAAAUGAAAUCUUCAAAACUAUGGAAACAUAAGCAUAAAUUUGCACUUCAGGAUCCCUGAAAAGUGAGAGGGACAGCUGACUUUUGAUGGCAACAGAGAGGUGUGGAAGAGCUAUGAGAUCUCCGGAAGAAGAAUACUAUCUGAAAUUUAGGAAUGAUCUCCGCCUUAUUUCAAGAGCGAUUCUCCAUUAAAGCAGAGGCAUUCUCCUCCACUACAGCCUGAUUUAGCUGUGCAAGCUACUGUAGAAAGAAAGGAGGAUCAUCAUCUGCCUCAUUACUUUCUGGCCUCUUUAAUUGUGGAAGGGAACGUAGAAAAAGUCUAUUUAUAUUUUAGAAUGCAAACUGAACAUUAACAGCUGCACAAGCAUUUCCUUUGUGUUAUUCAAAUUGUAAGGGCCUCUCAGACUGCACAUAAUAUGCUCUUAAUUUUUAACUUCAGAAAAGAAACUGUGCCACUAUGUUAAUUAUUUUUAAUCUCUUCUGUCAUGUUAGGUUAAGCAUGCAAGUACAAUCACCCAACUAACCUUAAAUUACAUUUUUUUUUCAAUUUCUG